UACGUAGGUGGCAAGCGUUGUCCGGAUUUACUGGGCGUAAAGAGCGCGCAGGCGGUCGUCCAAGUCGCGUGUGAAAGCCCCCGGCUCAACUGGGGAGGGUCACGCGAUACUGGUCGACUCGAAGGCAGGAGAGGGUAGUGGAAUUCCCGGUGUAGUGGUGAAAUGCGUAGAUAUUGGGAGGAACACCAGUGGCGAAGGCGGCUCACUGGACCGGUUCUGACGCUGAGGCGCGAAAGCGUGGGGAGCAAACGGG
rnacentral:rRNA from 1 species